rnacentral:lncRNA from 1 species
GAGAUUCUUUACCUGAGAUCAAGACAUCCUUCCUUACCCCAGGCAGAGAGAUACCUUCUUUGCAACACAUCCUCUGUAAGGACCAUUACUGCUGGCUCACCCUCCCAACUGGAACUCCGUCCCCAGACUCGGCUGGCCAGAUGUGGUCUCUGGUACGAGCAUUCCCUGAAAGCUGCUAUAGAGGAUCCAAACUGCCUGGAGUCCUGGGCUGCAGCCAGUUUGCAAGCAAUCAACCCACAACACCAUCCAUCCAGGGGAAGGAGCAGAAGAGACUUCAGAGGAGGAUAUAAAAAAGGUACAAUGUAGGAGGGGGAAACCUUCCCCUGCUGAGUCUCUCCUUUCUUCAAAGUGCAGUCUCAUUCCUGGGAGUGGUCUGCAACAGAGCAUUGCUCACCCUGGCCUCUUCGCUCUGGUUUCUAACAGCUUAUCAGGUGACUGACUGCAGCAGCUCAAGUUGCAAAGAUGGGGGAACACUCAAGCCAGUGUUAGGAGUAGUUAUGCAUGCACAUAAAUCAUGCAUGUGAAUCCUGAACCAUAUAUGGAACUGCAAAAGACCAAAGAAAGUAAUUUCUGCAGUUCAAAUAAUGAUUAUUCCAAUUUCAAAAAAUAUCUAGGUUACCAAAGGUUUAUUUGAACCAAUCUUGAAAGACAAACAAAAUCAUAUGAUGAAAUAAAGCUAAGCCUGCUAAAUGGAACA